rnacentral:rRNA from 1 species
GAUGAACGCUAGCUACAGGCUUAACACAUGCAAGUCGAGGGGAAACGGCAUUUAGUGCUUGCACUGAAUGGACGUCGACCGGCGCACGGGUGAGUAACGCGUAUCCAACCUUCCCAUUACUGUGGGAUAACCUGCCGAAAGGCAGACUAAUACCGCAUAGUCUUCGAUGACGGCAUCAGAUUUGAAGUAAAGAUUUAUCGGUAAUGGAUGGGGAUGCGUCUGAUUAGCUUGUUGGCGGGGUAACGGCCCACCAAGGCAACGAUCAGUAGGGGUUCUGAGAGGAAGGUCCCCCACAUUGGAACUGAGACACGGUCCAAACUCCUACGGGAGGCAGCAGUGAGGAAUAUUGGUCAAUGGACGAGAGUCUGAACCAGCCAAGUAGCGUGCAGGGUGACGGCCCUAUGGGUUGUAAACUGCUUUUGUAUGGGGAUAAAGUCAAUCACGUGUGAUUGUUUGCAGGUACCAUACGAAUAAGGACCGGCUAAUUCCGUGCCAGCAGCCGCGGUAAUACGGAAGGUCCGGGCGUUAUCCGGAUUUAUUGGGUUUAAAGGGAGCGUAGGCCGGAGAUUAAGUGUGUUGUGAAAUGUAGACGCUCAACGUCUGACUUGCAGCGCAUACUGGUUUCCUUGAGUACGCACAACGUUGGCGGAAUUCGUCGUGUAGCGGUGAAAUGCUUAGAUAUGACGAAGAACUCCGAUUGCGAAGGCAGCUGACGGGAGCGCAACUGACGCUUAAGCUCGAAGGUGCGGGUAUCGAACAGG